rnacentral:tRNA from 1 species
GCGGAUAUGGUCAAAUGGUAAAAUCUCUG